rnacentral:sRNA from 1 species
GUAGAUGCUCAUUCCACUCCUUAUGAUAGCAUUGGCUUCAUAAACCUAGGAAUGAUGCAGAGCCGAUUAUUCGGUGCCUACGUCCAGGUUAACGAUGAACAUCAUUCAUCAUCAACAGGACGAAACGUUGAGUGAGGCACCAUCCGUCUGUAGACCUGAUUGUAUAUUUAUACGCCUGUAUAGUUUUAUACAGGCGUUUUUUU